rnacentral:lncRNA from 1 species
CCCUGCGUAUUUGGGGGUGGCACAGCUGACAGUGGUUCCCGUCUUCCCCCCAACCCCACCCCCCUACUCCCCUCUCCUGGGCGUGGAUGGCUUUGGGAAGCGUCCACUCCAAGCGGCUCCAGCAACACUGAAUGGAUGUGUAGUAUGGUUAGCAGCUGGAGACGGAGCAAACGAUGCAAUGAAAAGAAGUCACAUUCACGGCGUAUUUGCUGGCAGGCACUGUGCGAAAUGCCUUGUAUGCAGCCUCUGUGAUUCUCUUCACGACUCGGUGAGAACUAUAAAGAUUCCUGUUGGAAAUGUGCAGCAUCACAUCACAAAAGAAAAAGAAACCAGAAAUAAAUGAAAACUCCGACAUGGUUCCUGAUUUUGUUUUCUGUAAUAGAUGUGAAACCAUGGCAAGGAUAAACAGUGAUUUGGCAUUCAGCAUCACCACUGCAUCAGGCAUUUCUAAGAACUGAAUUAAUGAAUGAAUAAACUCAUGUCAUAAAUAUAUUGUUUGUGGAUU